AUGUUAUCAAAAUUAAUACAGACUAAAUAUCACACUCCCUAUUUACAGGACCUAGAAACAGAAGUGCUCAGGCUUUGUGUGGCAAGUAUUUUGAUUAUAAAUAAAGAGGAUGUCCAAUGGACUAAUUUCCAUUGCUUGGUUCUAAAUAACUAUCAACUAUCUAAUAACUAUCUUAUGAAAAGUUUCACAGUUCUAGAAAAUAUGCAAAAAGUAGGGAUGUCUGGAUUUGGAAAGGGUCAAAGGAGCAACAGAUCAGAGAAGCAGGCCAUUUGAAAGCUAUGGCAGCAAUCAUCCUCAGGAGGAGGAGCAGGUAACCAACAAAUGCUGUUCUGAGUUCAGUUUUAUUCGUCAGAUUUAUGACAUCACUGGGGAAGUGCUUCGAACAAAGAUGACCAGAAUGGGGAACCUGACACCAUUUCCAACGGCUUAAAAAAUCAGGGAUCUUUACUCUAGAGAAGAGACUUACUACAGUCUCUUGGGAGAAAUACUACAGUCCUCUGUGUUAUUGAAAAAUUAUAGGAUGGCAAGUCCUGGUUCAAAUGAAGGAAGAACUAGAGAUGCCUGAUCAUAAACUGAGAUUGUUGGGAGGUAACAGGGUCUACUGCCAUCCUUUAGGUUACAAGUCAGAAUGGCCAACUAACUGGGGUAACUUGAUUUCAGAUAGACAGACUAAGUGAGUAUUUGGUGACUACAAGAUUCUAUGGAGAAAUAAUGAGAAACAUAAGAGAAUACCUCAAUGAGAUUGAGGUCAUACAACAAGAAAUAUUUACUGUCUUAGUGACUCAACUGGAGCUUAAAUCACCUGGAUUUACUCAAACUACACAGACUCUCCAAGCCUCUCAUUACCACAGCAAGAUUUUCCCUUGUCCCCUUUGGUAACUAUGGGGGCUAGGAGGCAUACCCAUAAUUCUCUCAGUUAAAAUCACUGCUGCAGAUCUCCACUGAGGUCUAGCUUCUAUCACUGACAUAAACAUUGUUCCCUUUCUCUCUAACUUGUUAUGGUGGGAAAACCUGAGAAUCACUGAAGCGGACAUUUGAGAACCAACUGAGAUGAUAAGGGAAAAAAGAAUAUUUCACAUAAACUUGCUUAUAUGUCCAUUGAUUUGUUAUAGCUAGUAUUGUCAGGUGAGGUUAACUCUCCUCAAGGAAAGCAUGAGAUAGGAUAAUUCUCUAAGAUCCCUUUUAGCCCUGAAUUUCUGAGGAGCUAUGAAAAUAAAAUAACAAUAAAUUGGACUAAAAAGAGCAUCUGUUGAAAACAACAUUAAGAUUCCAUCUCACUUCAGAAAGAAUUGCUGCUAUCAAGAAAUCAACUAAUAGCAAAUGUUGGCGGGGCUAUGGUGUUGGUGGGAGUGUAGACUGGUGCAACCACUGUGGAAAUCAGUGUGGAGAUUCCUCAAAAAAACUAGGAUUAGAGGUUCCAUUUGACCCAGCUCUUCUCCUUCUGGGUGUCUUCCUGAAAGAAUUAAAAGCAUCAUACCACAGCGAUAUAUGCAUACCCAUGUUCAUAGUGGCAGUUUGGAAUAGAUAAAUCUCAGAAACAGCCCAAAUGCCCAUCAACUGGUGACUGGAUAAAGAUGUGGGGUUUUUGGUAAUAAAAUGGAGUAUUAUUCAGCCAUAAAGAAAGGUAAAUAGAGACAUUUACAGAUAAAUGGAUGCACUUUGAGGCAAUACUCUUAAGUGAAAAAAACUGGACACGUGUAAAUACUGAAUUGUUUUUCUGAUGUGAGAAAGUGAAAGUGUAAAUGACGACCAAACUGCGUAAUGGAUAUUGUGAAACAGGAAGAAAAUGUUCAAAGGGGGAGGGGAACUAGGGUGGAAGGGCAGGGGAAAGGAAAGAAGGGAAAGAAAAAAAUGAAAAACGACAGAAAAAAUGGCAACAAAGCUUUUGUAAAUAGGGAGAGGUGAAGGGGUUGAAGGGAGGGCGGGGGAAUGGGAAAAAAAUAAGAACCAAGACACAUCAUGUACAGCUACAAAUUCCCAAUGAUGAAUGUGAUCAUAAUGUAUACC
rnacentral:lncRNA from 1 species